CCCUUAGAUGUUCUGGGCUGCACACGUGCUACACUGGCAGGUUCAGCGAGCUUCAUGCCCUGAUCUGAAAGGAAUGGGAAAUCUUUUCAAAACCUGCCGUGCUUGGGAUAGAUGUUUGCAAUUAUUCAUCUUCAACGAGGAUUGCCUUGUAAGCGCACGUCAUCAGCGUGCAUUGAAUACGACCCUGUAUUCUGUACACACCGCCCGUCGCUCCUACCGAUUGAAGUUUUCGGUGAGUUGACAGGAGGAUUUUUUUGAAACUGGUUCGCCAGUGGAUUUUAGAUCCAAAUGCCAACGAAUCGAUGGCUUUAGAGGAGGGAGAAGUCGUAACA
rnacentral:rRNA from 1 species